rnacentral:rRNA from 1 species
GACGUAGGGCGCGAGCGUUGUCCGGAUUUAUUGGGCGUAAAGAGCUCGUAGGCGGCUUGUCGCGUCGUUCGUGAAAACCCGGGGCUCAACUCCGGGCUUGCGGGCGAUACGGGCAGGCUAGAGUUCGGUAGGGGAGACUGGAAUUCCUGGUGUAGCGGUGAAAUGCGCAGAUAUCGGGAGGAACACCAGUAGCGAAGGCGGCACUCUGGGCCGGUACUGACGCUGAGGAGCGAAAGCGUGGGGAGCAAACAGG